CCGUUAACUGUCGUAUGGAAGACUAGUGAUUUUGUUGUUUUAAAAAAAAAGUAUUUUCCUAACAAGAAGUCUCUAGUCUUCUUACGAAAGUAUCGA
rfam:Acyrthosiphon pisum strain LSR1 Contig9341, whole genome shotgun sequence.